rnacentral:rRNA from 1 species
UCGAGAAUCUUCCGCAAUGGGCGCAAGCCUGACGGAGCGACGCCGCGUGCGGGAUGAAGGCCUUCGGGUUGUAAACCGCUGUCAGUGGGGAGCAAAUCUUUGGGGGUUAUCCCCCAAAGUUGAGCGAUCCGCAGAGGAAGCGCAGGCUAAGUUCGUGCCAGCAGCCGCGGUAAUACGAACUGCGCGAACGUUAUUCGGAAUCACUGGGCUUAAAGAGUCCGUAGGCGGCUCGGUAGGUGGGGUGUGAAAGCCCACGGCUCAACCGUGGAAUUGCGCUCCAAACCGCCGGACUCGAGGGAGAUAGAGGAGAGCGGAACUGAUGGUGGAGCGGUGAAAUGCGUUGAUAUCAUCAGGAACACCGGUGGCGAAAGCGGCUCUCUGGAUCUCUUCUGACGCUGAGGGACGAAAGCUAGGGGAGCGAACGGG